rnacentral:rRNA from 1 species
GACGAACGCUGGCGGCGUGCUUAACACAUGCAAGUCGAACGGAAAGGCCUGCUUUCCCUUGUGGAUUGCGGGUACUCGAGUGGCGAACGGGUGAGUAACACGUGAGUGAUCUGCCCCCAACUUGGGUAUAAGCCUGGGAAACUGGGUCUAAUUCCCGAUAGGACUGCAGGGUGGUGCCUGUGGUGGAAAACGAUUUUCUAGUGGUUGGGGAUGAGCUCGCGGCCUAUCAGCUUGUUGGUGGGGUAAUGGCCUACCAAGGCGGCGACGGGUAGCCGGCCUGAGAGGGUGGACGGGCACAUUGGGACUGAGAUACGGCCCAGACUCCUACGGGAGGCAGCAGUGGGGAAUAUUGCACAAUGGGCGGAAGCCUGAUGCAGGGACGCCGCGUGGGGGAUGACGGCCUUCGGGUUGUAAACUCCUUUCGACCGCGAGGAAGCCACCUGGUUGGAAGGGUGGUGACGGUAGUGGUAGAAGAAGCACCGGCUAACUACGUG